AUGAACGCUGGCGGCGUGCCUAAUACAUUCAAGUUGAGCGAACGGACGAGAAGCUUGUUUCUCUGAUGUUAGCGGCGGACGGGUGAGUAACACGUGGAUAACCUACCUAUAAGACUGGGAUAACUUCGGGAAACCGGAGCUAAUACCGGAUGAUAUUUUGAACCGCAUGGUUCCAAAGUGAAAGACGGUCUUGCUGUCACUUAUAGAUGGAUCCGCGCUGCAUUAGCUAGUUGGUAAGGUAACGGCUUACCAAGGCAACGAUGCAUAGCCGACCUGAGAGGGUGAUCGGCCACACUGGAACUGAGACACGGUCCAGACUCCUACGGGAGGCAGCAGUAGGGAAUCUUCCGCAAUGGGCGAAAGCCUGACGGAGCAACGCCGCGUGAGUGAUGAAGGUCUUCGGAUCGUAAAACUCUGUUAUUAGGGAAGAACAUAUGUGUAAGUAACUGUGCACAUCUUGACGGUACCUAAUCAGAAAGCCACGGCUAACUACGUG
rnacentral:rRNA from 1 species